AACGAACGCUGGCGGCAGGCCUAACACAUGCAAGUCGAGCGAGCAUUUCGGUGCUAGCGGCGGACGGGUGAGUAACGCGUGGGAACGUGCCCUUUUCUGCGGAAUAGUCCUGGGAAACUGGGGGUAAUACCGCAUACGCCCUUUUGGGGAAAGAUUUAUCGGAGAAGGAUCGGCCCGCGUUGGAUUAGGUAGUUGGUGGGGUAAUGGCCCACCAAGCCGACGAUCCAUAGCUGGUUUGAGAGGAUGAUCAGCCACACUGGGACUGAGACGCGGCCCAGACUCCUACGGGAGGCAGCAGUAGGGAAUCUUAGACAAUGGGGGCAACCCUGAUCUAGCCAUGCCGCGUGAGUGAUGAAGGCCUUAGGGUUGUAAAGCUCUUUCAGCUGGGAAGAUAAUGACGGUACCAGCAGAAGAAGCCCCGGCUAACUCCGUG
rnacentral:rRNA from 1 species